UACGUAGGGUGCGAGCGUUAAUCGGAAUUACUGGGCGUAAAGCGUGCGCAGGCGGUUUUGUAAGCCAGAUGUGAAAGCCCCGGGCUCAACCUGGGAAUGGCAUUUGGGACUGCAAGGCUUGAGUGCGGCAGAGGAGACUGGAAUUCCUGGUGUAGCAGUGAAAUGCGUAGAUAUCAGGAGGAAUACCGAUGGCGAAGGCAGGUCUCUGGGCUGACACUGACGCUCAUGCACGAAAGCGUGGGGAGCGAA
rnacentral:rRNA from 1 species